rnacentral:rRNA from 1 species
GAUGAACGCUGGCGGCGUGCCUAAUACAUGCAAGUCGAGCGAACAGAUGAGGCGUUUUCUCCUCUGAAGUUAGCGGCGGACGGGUGAGUCACAUGUGGAUAACCUACCUAUAAGACUGGGAUACCUAAGGGAAACCGGAGCUAAUACCGGAUAAUAUAUUGAACCGCAUGGUUCAAUAGUGAAAGACGGAUUUGCUGUGACUUAUAGAUGGAUCCGCGCCGCAUUAGCUAGGUGGUAAGGUAACGGCUUACCAAGGCAACGAUGCGUAGCCGACCUGAGAGGGUGAUCGGCCACACUGGAACUGAGACACGGUCCAGACUCCUACGGGAGGCAGCAGUAGGGAAUCUUCCGCAAUGGGCGAAAGCCUGACGGAGCAACGCCGCGUGAGUGAUGAAGGUCUUCGGAUCGUAAAGCUCUGUUAGUAGGGAGGAACAAAUGUAUAAGUAACUAUGCACGUCUUGACGGUACCUAAACAAAAAGCCACGGCUAACUACGUG